GGCAGAGCAGGACAGGUGCCAUCACCUGUGUCCCCAUGGAGCCUGCAUUGCUGCUGGAGGUGGAUCUGCCCUGGGACACUGGGCAGGAACAGGCAGGCACUGGGAUGAGCACAUUGUGCCCCUGGAAAGAGGAAAGCAGAACCUUGCCCAUGGAAAUGCUUUUGUGCUUUAAAGGCCAGAUCACAGAACAUCUUCUCUGAUUCUUUCAGGGGCUGUUUGAAUGUGAGUUCCAGCUGCACUGGGUCUGCUGAAAUGUUCCCAGGCCUGGCUGGAGGAUCAGUGUUGCUUUAAAACCUGAAUAAACAC
rnacentral:lncRNA from 1 species